AACGAACGCUGGCGGCAUGCCUAAUACAUGCAAGUCGAACGAGAUCUUCGGAUCUAGUGGCGCACGGGUGCGUAACGCGUGGGAAUCUGCCCUUGGGUUCGGAAUAACGUCGGGAAACUGACGCUAAUACCGGAUGAUGACGUAAGUCCAAAGAUUUAUCGCCCAAGGAUGAGCUCGCGUAGGAUUAGCUAGUUGGUAAGGUAAAGGCUUACCAAGGCGACGAUCCUUAGCUGGUUUGAGAGGAUGAUCAGCCACACUGGGACGGAGCCACGGCCCAUACUCCUACUGGAGGCAGCAGUAGGGAAUAUUGGACAAUGGGCGCAAGCCUAAUCCAGCAAUGCCGCGUGAGUGAUGAAGGCCUUAUGGUUGUAAAGCUCGUUUACCCGGGAUGAUAAUGACAGUACCGGGGGAAUAAGCCCCGACUAACUCCGUUCCAGCCGCCGCCGUAA
rnacentral:rRNA from 1 species